rnacentral:lncRNA from 1 species
GCCACUAUGUGCUCAAACCCUUUGCAUCCAAAACGUUGGACAUGAUUUUGGCUCUUUCCACAGAUGGUGUGGGAUUUCGCCUAGAGUUAUUGAAGAACUUCUUUUGAGGUGCCUUUAUUUUUGAGCUUCUUCAUUUCUAACUGUUUUUAUAUAUAAUUUCUUAAAUUGUUUAGUGAGCAUGGUCGUUUGGUUAUCAUUCUCACUUUUAUCAUCUUCUUACCUCCUUGGUUUUAAAGGUUAUUCUCGAUUAUUUUUCCUUCUUCCUUUUGUGAAGAUGUAGCUCAUAGGUCAUAAAAGAUCCUACCAAUUUUUCCACUUUCAUGCUUCCCUUGUCUUUCCUUUCCUCGAUAGUGGUUACCUUGAAGUGGAACCUAUCAGGUAGUGAUUUGAGAAAUUUUUUGACAAUUUUACUUUUCUGAGUAUUUCUUUCCCAAAGUGUAGGUCGAGUAAGUGAUGUCACUUCGUUUUGCAUAGAAUUUUUUAAAGUGCUCAUCAUCUCCCGUGGUUAAUUGCUCAAAUUUGAGUGUUAAUAUUCGGAGUUUAGAGGACUCCAGAAUUGAGGUUCCUUAAUGAGCAACUUGCAAUAUGUCCUAUGCCUUUUUAGCCAACUUGCAUGUUGAAAUCAAACGAAAUCGAUUAGCAUCAAUGAAUGACAAAAUAACAUUUAGAGCUUUAGAAUUCCAACCAAUAUUAUUAUAAUCAAUAGUCACCCAUUCAUCUGCUACUUUCUCUCUUUCUACAUCCUUUUCAAUUACGGUGAGAGUUUUAAAGCCAUACACGAUUGAGUGCCAUGCUUUCCCAUCUAAAGAUUGGACAUAGGCUUUCAUUCUUAUUUUUCAAUACGAAUAAUUAGUCCCAUCUAAGACAAGAGCUCUAACAAAGCACCGUCCUUUACAAGAUUUUAUGUAGUCUCAUUUUUUUUUUUUUAAAGUGAAAUCCCUCUUAUACUAAUUGUAAGUACUAAAACCUAGUUAAUUAAACAAUGUCUGAAUUAUUGUUUGCCAGAGUACGCCAGUCUGUUAGAACUUUCUACUGACAGUGCUACAUAUAGUUUUAAUUGGGAAGCUUAAUAGAUUUGUGUUCUACAAGAUAUAAUUUAUUGUAAAAUUAAAUAAAGAUGAACACCAAAUAUAACAUGGUAAACCCCUAAGGGAAACAUCCAUGAGCCCCCAUACCACAGGUAAAAUAAUCUACUAUCAAAGAAUAAAAAAUACAAUAUUUCAAUUUCAGAUUUUCGCAAAAUUUAACAAAAACAAUCAAAUCCUUGUUUUAUUUCUUCUUUUGGCAUGUUGGGAAAAUAGAAUCAAACCAUCCGAUAUUGACUUUAUCGUCAUUUCACUAUUGUAUUCGACCACAAACAUUACUUGAAUUAAGCUUUACCAAUUUUAACUUAUGCCAAGUAGCUUGAUCUUAAAGUAGAUUAUAUCAUUCACGCUUAGGUCCGUUAUCUUCAAUUGUGGUUGAAGAGCAUGAUUUUUACUUUGAGAUACUUCAAUGGAACAUGAGCCAAUAAGAACUCACUGAAGAUGGUACUUCAAAACUUGCUGCUGCAAGUUCACCAGAUAUAAACAGAUUUUUUUCAAAGCAUUAGUUCAUCCCUUAUUUGUUUUCUCCACUUAUGUAGAGACUCCUCCUAGGUACAAACAUGUCUUACCUAAAAUAUGGAAAUUUUGCAUGCUAAGAAUAAAAUAGAAUAUGUUUGAUAAUGUCAAUAAUUAAAUUAAGAAAAUGUUUAAUUUGUUAAAACAAUUUUUCCUUCUUUUAACUAUUUGACCAAUCAAACCAAUCCAAUAAGUGUGUGUGUGUGUGUAUUUGAUAUGGCCAAUGACUAAAUUAAGGAAAUUUUGAUUUUUUUAAAUCAAUCUUUCAUUCUUUUAAUUAUUUGAUCAAUCAAACCAGUUCAAGGUCGGCCUCUCUCCCUUUUCAUCUUAUCUUGAAAGGGAACGGUCUUCCGUGGUUGGUGUUAUGUUGCGGUAUCUUAUGGAAUGAGCUUAGCUCUUUCUCAACUCCCUCUCUUUUACUCUGCAUCUCCUCGAUAUCCUUGAUACAUCUCAUGUAAACUUAUGUGAGGUUUUGAUUUCUAGCCAAGCCAAUGCCUUCGAUCUUUGGUGGUGACAUAACUUUGCCAUGUCUAUUUUGUGGGAUAUUUGUUGUCAUCUACAAGCUUGAUAUGUUGAAGUUUAUUCAUUUUGGUAUGCUAAACAUCCACAUGGUCGUACUUUUACUAUUUUUCUUUGCUUAUAUCAAGUUAAUGUCUUAGUCAUUUCGAUUACAUAAAAAAAUCUAGCAAUAGUAGUUGAAAUGUAUUGUCAUUCGGGAUUAAGUUUUGUGCAAUACUUAAAUUCAAAUUUUACAUCAAGUUAAUUACUAGGGAAAAUUGCAACAGUGAUCCCUAACCUUUUCAUUUUUUACAAACUUUACCCUAACCUUCAUUUUGUGCCAGCGAAGGUUCCUAACCUUUCAUAAAUACACACUUGGGGUUCAUUCGGACGGAAACCGUCCAAAACAUCGUCAGUUGAUUGGCAAAAUUAAGGAAUCAACAUCCAAUAACACCGUCCAAAAAUGUAUCAACAUCCAAUAAAACCGUCGAGGUAGCAGAUAGUUCAAGGAAAUUUCUCGAUCAACUAACGGUGUUUUGGACAAUUUCCAUCUAGAUAGACCUCGGGUGCAUAUUUAUGAAAGGUUAAGGACCUUCGUCGGCACAAAAUGAAGGUUAAGGUAAAGUCUGCAAAAAAUGAAAAAGGUUAGGGACUGCUACUGCAAUUUUCCCUAAUUACUAUUGCUAUUAGGUACGGCACAUUGAAAAUCAGUGUUCAAAUCGUUAUUGAUCUACUCCCAUAGCCUACUCUGGGCAUGUUGAAUCUUGCAAGAUAAUUGAAUAUAUGUAGUAUCCAUUAAGAUCUGUAUUAUUAUAGGAAAAUAGAUUUGUGUAGAAAAUUUAAUGAGUUAGCUGAUACAGUUGAUUUUCUUAUCAAAUAAAGCUUAGUAUUGGAAUGUAUAUAAAUUCUUCUAUCUUGCAUAUUGAAAAUGACACAGGAAUUAUUCUGCAAUAUAUUGUUUAUAUUCAUAGUAUCUGAGUUAUGUCCUAGUAGCUCUUGCAACCUAUUACCUUUUGAUCAAACUACGUCAUGGCAGAAACCAUUAAUACAGAAACAUCAACAGAUACCGAUAAAUUGGAUCUCUAUUCUCUAUAUCACUCAGAUCAUUUGAGCAUUAUUCUUGUCUCCGAACUGCUUAAAGGAGACAACUACGGUAUAUGGAGUCGUGCUGUGCGAAUUGGUUUAAGUGCUAAAAAUGAAAUCGAAUUUGUAAUGGGUUUAUCAAAUCGCCUCCUUCGACAGAUGCAAGUUUCGUGUUAUGGCACAAUGAUAUGGUCUUGUCAUGGUUAUUAAGCUCUGUUAAUCAAGACUUAGCAAGUAGCGUCAUGUAUGUCGAAACUGCUGCAGAGGUUUAAGCUGAGCUACAAGAGCUUUUCUCUUAAGGAAAUGACUCAAGGAUUUAUCAAAUCAAGCGAGAAAUUGCAGAACAUAGAUAGGGACAAGAAUCUAUUUCUGUAUAGUACACCAAAUUUAAGGCAUUCUGGGAUGAGCUUUCAUCCUAUCAUGACUCUCUAACCAUGUGGUGACUUAACAAGAGAGAAGAGGAGGAGAAAAUCAUGCAAUUUCAUAUGGGAUUGAAUAAUAGCUAUUCCACAAUUCAUGGACAGAUCAUGCUGAUGCAGUCCCUACCCAACACAAGCCGUGUUUAUUCAUUCGUCCUUCAACAAGAAAAACAGGUUGAAGUUUCUAUCAAUCGUGGAAAUAUUAAUCAUCAUGCUAUGUUUGUAGAUCAGCAGAGUAAAGCAAAUCAAGCUCGGAGACACAAAUUAAGGAACACGUUACAUUGUUCAUACUGUGAUCAAGACUAUCACAACAUUGAGAAAUGUUAUUUUCUUCGUGGAUUUCCAGUGGGUGAUAAACUGUUGGAAAUUGGUUUCCAAAUUAACAUGAAAGAUCGGAAAUUGGUUAAGUAAAAAUUGAAAUCGGAAAGUAUGACUAACGUGUCAACGUCGGCCGAAUAUUCGAACUUGAUCUGAUGGUCAAAUUACAAAAGUAAAAAGGUCAUCUUGUUCUACUCAUCGAGUAGAUGAUCGUAGUAUAUUUGGACAUUAGAAAACAAUUCCGGGUGAAUGAGAAAUUGUAGUUCAAAGAUUGGAGAAAAAUACGGUGGAAAAGGACUAAAAUACACUGUCGCUUGAUGUUCGCUCGAGUGACAGCAUCGUCAUCGUUCAAUGUUCACUCGACUGACAGUCUCGCUUGCUCGAGCGAAAUUCAAGCGAAAAACGAGCGAAGUAUGUUUUGCUCGGAUUUUUGAAGCGCUGCCGAGCGAAAAGCUAGCGAAGAUGGAAUGUUGCAAUUAUUCGAAAAAUUGCACGAUUUAUCCCACACCCCUUCCUCCUCUAUGAAUAGGACCCCUUGGAUGUCCCUAAGGACACACCAACUCAUAUUUUGUAUUGAGCACUCUUCUUCUCUUACAAAAUCUCUCUUUCUUUUUCUUGCAUAAAAUCCCUAAUUGGCAGUCUAAUGUAUGUUACAAACUGCACUCGACUAGACAUUGCAUUUGCGAUCAAUAAACUUACUAGAUUCACGAGUAAUCCAAGCCAUGAUCAUUGGGUGGCAUUGAUAAGGGUCCUUAGGCACUUGAAGUUGCCAUGACCUAUGGAUUACAUUUCACAAAAUAUUCUGUGGUAUUAGAAGGAUAUUGUUACGCAAAUUGGAUAUCCGAUAUGAAGGAUUCCAAAUCCACAAGUGGCUAUGUGUUUACACUUGGUGGAGCUGCUAUCUCAUGGAAAUCUUCAAAACAAACGUGUAUAGCUCGAUCAACUAUGGAAUCAGAGUUUAUUGCUUUGAACAAAGCUGGUGAAGAAGCAGAAUGACUUCGAAAUUUCUUAGAAGAUGUUCUAUGUUGGCCUAAGCCAGUACCUGCCAUAAGCAUACACUGCGAUAAUCAAUCGGCUAUUGAAAGGGCUAAAAGCAGCAUGUAUAAUGGUAAGUCUAGACAUAAACGUCGGAGACAUAAUACCAUUAAGCAACUGAUCUCAAUGGGCGUCAUCUCCAUAGAUUAUGUGAAAUCAAAGGAAAAUGUUGCGGAUCCGCUUACGAAAGGUUUGCCAAGAGAUCAAAUACGUUGCCUAUCGAGAGGAAUGGGAUUAAAGUCUACUACGUUAGAGUCCUUAUAAUGGUAACCCUACCUUGUUGAUUGGAGAUCCCAAGAUCUUGGUUCAAAUGGACAACUAAGUUAUGAGGAUUCCAUGAAACACCUAGGAAAUAAUUUCCUAACUCAUUCCUAUGAUACCAAAGUUCUUUCUGUAGAAUUGGAAGAUGUUAAGAUAAUCUUUUAAUGAUUCCUAUAUCUUGAUUAAGUCAAGUGGAGUAAGGAAGAAUACUCUUAAUAGGAGAUCACCUAUGUGAGUGUGAAGUGAAGCCCCUUCAAUGAGAAUUAUUCAACUCUUAAAUUCUCUAAAACACUUGCAGAACCAAGAGGGGUUUAGGGCUAAAAUGAACCAAGUCAUGAGAAUCAAGAACGGAAUUAGGGAAGACAUUGUAUGAGUAUUGUUGUCUUGGCUUACACUAACGGCUGGUCGGUUCAAGACAUCAUGUUCACCAACUAGCCAAGUAAGCUCGAUAAUAUUUCACUAGGGAAGGUUUAAAGCCGGAAGCUACCUUGCCCGAUGUAAUAUUUCGCCGCUCUCUCUCUACAAUUGCAUGUAUCAUCUCGCAUAUCAUUUGCAUACUCGAAUUUCCAUUCAUGUGGGGGAUUGUUUGAAAUUGGUUUCCAAAUUAACAUGAAAGAUCAGAAAUUAGUUAAGUAAAAAUUGAAAUCGAAAAGUGUGACUAACGUGUCAACUUCGGCCGAAUAUUUGGACUUUUUCCGAUGGUCAAAUUACAAAAGUAAAAAGGCCAACUUGUUCUACUCAUCGAGUAGAUAAUCGUAGUAUAUUGGACAUUACAAACCAAUUCCGGUUGAAUAAGAAAUCGCGGUCCAAAGAUUGGAGGAAAAUACGGUGGAAAAUGGCUAAAAUACACUGUCGCUCGAUGUUCACUUGAGCGACAGUCUCGCUUGCUCGAGCGAAAUUCAAGCGAAAAGCAAGCGAAGUAUGUUCUGCUCGGAUUUUUGAAGCACUGCUCGAGCGAAAAGCUAACAAAGAUGGAAUGUUGCAACUAUUCGAAAGAUUGCACAAUUUGACCCACACCACUUCAUCCACACCCCUUCCUCCUCUAUAAAUAGGACCUCUUGGACGUCCCUAAGGACACACCAACUUAUAUUUUGUAUUGAGCACUCUUCUUCUCUUACAAAAUAUCUCUCCCUUUUUCUUGCAUAAAAUCCCUUUGUAGAGGGGGAAAUUUAGUCGGUUCGCCGGAUCUUGUGGAGUGAAGUGCUGCUACCACAAGAUUAAACAUCCAUUGUAUCUUGGGAGACAAGUGCCGUCAACCGCGAGUAUCGUUGCGGGGCAAUAUUUUCUUAAGGAGAAAGUACCAUCACUUGCCUCAGAUUUCAUUUCUUUUUCUUCUCAUUUUAUUGUUUCAUUUUGAUACCUUGAUUUUGUGAUUUUGUACUACAUUUUCAAGUUCACAUAUCAAUAGUUUGAUCACACUCCUGCAUUAAACAUUAAUUUGUUUUGAUACAAACAUCAACAACCAUCGUACCGCUCACAUAAACCCCAGAACCAACAUAAACUUCAUGGAAAAAAUGUUAAGCUUUUCAACCAACGGCAUUCGAGUGCUAAUUCUGUAAAAACUGAAUCUGAAAAAGUGGCAAAUACACGUACAAUAACCCUUUUGAUGAUGGACAAAGAUUUACAAUCGAGGAGUACCUUCAAUUGAUGAACAUGUUUCGGCAAAAUAAUGAUGGUAAUCCUCCACACUUUGCAAAUAACACGGGUAUUAUUACGCCAUCACCUGUCAUUAUUCUAGUCACUUGUCUCUCAAACUUACCCUGGAUUAUUGAUAGUGGAGCUACAGAUCAUGUAACAUCUUCAACUGAGUCAUUAGAUAAAAAGUAUGUACCCAAAUCAGCCACUAUUUAGUUGCUAAAUAGUGGUCAGACACAAUUGAAUCAAUUGGUUCUUUAAAUGUCACACCACAUAUCAAACUUGAUGAAGUGCUUAAAGUUCCUAAAUUCCAAGUCAAUUUACUAUUAGCAAGUGUAUAAUGAUAUUCUUCCCUGAUUUUUGUGUUGUGCAGGAUGUUGCUACGAGCAAGAUGAUUGGCGUAGGCAAGCAACAUAAUGGUCUCUACUGCCUUACAAAACAUCAGAACAUGACCUUAACCUACAACAUCAGCUAACGCUCACAUCUGUAGCACCAAAGACUUGGACAUCGAUCUUGAGGCCCUCUUCAAGUUCUUAGUAAAGUCAAUCCAGAAAUUCAUUUUAAUUCCAAUCGUGUCUGUGAAAUAUGCCAUUUAGCCAAACAAACUUGUUUAUCAUUUCCAUCUAGUUCAAUUUCUUCACAUGCAGCUUUUGAUUUGAUACAUUAUGCUAUUUGAUCAAUCGCUUGCCUAUGUCACUUCUUUUUAAUAAAUCUCCAUAUCAACUACUCCACAGAAGACCACCUGUGUACAACCAUCUCUGCACUUUUGGAUUUCCGUGUUAUGCCACCAAUCAUAUGCCAAUACAUAAACUAGAUCAACAAGCUCAUCGUUGUGUAUUUGUUGGCUAUCCUCUUGGCCUAAAGGUCCAACGAGUUUAUGAUCCCCUCACACGUAAGUUCUUUUCUUCUUGAGAUGUCAUAUAUCAUGAACAUAUAUUUCCAUUCAAUUCUCAAAUGUCAAGAAUUUUCUCAAGAUGGUGUUGUGCUUCUUUUAUCUCGAACCUUCCCUGAAUCCAAUGCACCGCAUCCAUCCAAUAUACCUACAGGCACAAGUGAAAAUAUACCAUCGUUAGCUGACAUAAAUUUAUCAUCUCUAGAUGAUUUACACAACUGAAUUCACUUCCAUUGAUGCUGUCACUAUCCAACCACCAUCUGCUGUUCAUUCCCUUUAUCGAUUAGGUAAACAUCAACAACCCAAUGUUAAUUUUUGUUACUAUCAUCUCUAUAACUCGACCAUGAUUGCUCCAGUUUCUUCAUCUUCUUCAGUCAUCCACUUCAUGGAUAUAUUUCUUAUGCACAACUUGCUCCUCAUUAUCGCCGUUUUAUAUGCACUAUCAAUACUACUAUGGAACCAAUAACUUAUGAACAGGCUGUUUUAGAUCCUCAGUGGUGAGAAGCCAUGGCUGCAGAACUCCACGCUCUUGAGCAAAACAACACAUGGACACUUACUUCUCUUCUACUUGGUCAUUGUCCUAUUGGGUGCAAAUGGGUAUACCAGAUUAAAUAUAAUUCAGAUGGCACUAUUGAAAGGUAUAAGGCCCAUUUGUUGGCAAAAAAAGGCUUCAACCAACAUGAAGGAAUCGGCUAAAAAAAUACAUUUUCCCAUGUUGCAAAAUUAACUAUGUUUGUUGUCUUCUUGUCAUAGCUAUUGUUCGUGAUUGUGCACUUCACCAAAUGGAUGUUCAAAAUGCUUUUCUUCAUGGUGAUUUAUUUGAAGAGGUAUAUAUGCAGCUUCCUCCUGAUCUGCAUUAUUAUAGGAAAACAUAUUUGCGUAUAAAACUUUA